rnacentral:rRNA from 1 species
GACGAACCGUGCGAACGUUGUUCGGAAUCACUGGGCUUAAAGGGCGCGUAGGCGGCCCGCCGCGUCCGGGGUGAAAUCCUCCCGCUCAACGGGAGGACGGCCUCGGAUACGGGCGGGCUGGAGUUCGGUAGGGGAGACUGGAAUUCCUGGUGUAGCGGUGAAAUGCGCAGAUAUCAGGAGGAACACCGGUGGCGAAGGCGGGUCUCUGGGCCGAUACUGACGCUGAGGAGCGAAAGCGUGGGGGAGCGAACAGG